rnacentral:rRNA from 2 species
AGCAGCCGCGGUAAUUCCAGCUCCAAUAGCGUAUAUUAAAGUUGUUGCAGUUAAAAAGCUCGUAGUUGAAUUUCGGGAUCAAUUUGUCGGUCGUGCCUCGGUACGUACUGGCAUUAUUGGUUUCUACCUUCUGAAGAACCUUGAUGUCAUUAAUUUGGUGUCUUGGGGAAUCAGGACUGUUACUUUGAAAAAAUUAGAGUGUUUAAAGCAGGCAUACGCUUGAAUACAUUAGCAUGGAAUAAUGAAAUAGGACGUUUGAUUCUAUUUUGUUGGUUUCUAGGAUCGACGUAAUGAUUAAUAGGGAUAGUUGGGGGCAUUAGUAUUCAAUUGUCAGAGGUGAAAUUCUUGGAUUUAUUGAAGACUAACUACUGCGAAAGCAUUUGCCAAGGAUGUUUUCAUUAAUCAAGAACGAAAGUUAGGGGAUCGAAGACGAUCAGAUACCGUCGUAGU